rnacentral:rRNA from 1 species
CGCGGCAAUCCCGCAUACGUCCCCCGGGGGUACUCGGGGGAGAAAGCACGGCAACGGGCGCUGCAGGGGGAGCUCGCGGCCCAUUAGCUAGUUGGCAGGGUAACAGCCUCCCAAGGCGACGAUGGGUAGCCGGCCUGAGAGGGUGAACGGCCACACUGGGACUGAGACACGGCCCAGACUCCUACGGGAGGCAGCAGUAGGGAAUCUUCCACAAUGGGCGCAAGCCUGAUGGAGCAACGCCGCGUGAGUGAAGACGGCCUUCGGGUUGUAAAGCUCUGUCUGUCGGGACGAAGACCGGGACGGGAGUCCCGGGGAGCCGGUACCGACGAAGGAAGCCCCUGCAAACUACGUGCCAGCAGCCGCGGUAAGACGUAGGGGGCAAGCGUUGUCCGGAAUUACUGGGCGUAAAGGGCGUGUAGGCGGUAAGAUACGUAGCGGUUUUAAGCCUCCAGCUCACCUGGAGGAGGGCGGCUAAACGGUCUCACUCGAGGGCAGGAGAGGUGCGUGGAAUUGCUGGUGGAGCGGUGAAAUGCGUAGAGAUCAGCAAGAACACCAGUGGCGAAGGCGGCGCACUGGCCUGUCCCUGACGCUGAGGCGCGACAGCGUGGGGAGCAAACGGGAUUAGAUACCCCGGUAGUCCACGCCGUAAACGAUGGAUACUAGGUGUCGCGGGGGUCCACCUCGCGGUGCCGGAGCUAACGCACUAAGUAUCCCGCCUGGGGAGUACGG